rnacentral:rRNA from 1 species
UACAGAGGGUGCGAGCGUUAAUCGGAAUUACUGGGCGUAAAGCGCACGUAGGUGGCGACGUAAGUCGGGUGUGAAAGCCCCGGGCUCAACCUGGGAAUUGCAUUCGAGACUGCAUUGCUGGAGUACGGAAGAGGAGGGCGGAAUUCCCGGUGUAGCGGUGAAAUGCGUAGAUAUCGAGAGGAACACCUGCGGCGAAGGCGGGUUGCUGGGCUGACACUGACGCUGAACUGCGAAAGCUAGGGGAGCGAACGGG